rnacentral:misc_RNA from 1 species
GAUGAAGAACGCAGUAAAAUGCGAUAAGUAAUGUGAAUUGCAGAAUUCAGUGAAUCAUCGAAUCUUUGAACGCACAUUGCGCCCGCCAGUAUUCUGGCGGGCAUGCCUGUUCGAGCGUCAUUUCAACCCUCAAGCACAGCUUGGUGUUGGGACUCGCGUUAAUUCGCGCUCCCCAAAUUGAUUGGCGGUCACGUCGAGCUUCCAUAGCGUAGUAGUAAAACCCUCGUUACUGGUAAUCGUCGCGGCCACGCCGUUAAACCCCAACUUCUGAAUGUUGACCUCGGAUCAGGUAGGAAUACCCGCUGAACUUAAGCAUAUCAAUAAGCGGAGGA